rnacentral:rRNA from 1 species
AUAAAGUGGAUUAGCGGCGGACGGGUGAGUAACACGUGAGUAACCCGCCUUAGACAUUGGGAUAGCCUCGGGAAACCGGGAUUAAUACCAAAUAAAAUCAUAAUGACACAUGUCAUAACGAUCAAAACUCCGGUGGUCUAAGAUGGACUCGCGUCCCAUUAGCUAGUUGGUAGAGUAAAAGCCUACCAAGGCGACGAUGGGUAGCCGGCCUGAGAGGGUGAACGGCCACAUUGGAACUGAGAAACGGUCCAA